CUGCAUGGCUGUCGUCAGCUCGUGCCGUGAGGUGUUGGGUUAAGUCCCGCAACGAGCGCAACCCUAUUGCCAGUUGCUACCAGGUAAUGCUGGGCACUCUGGUGAGACUGCCCCGGUUAACGGGGAGGAAGGUGGGGACGACGUCAAGUCAUCAUGGCCCUUACGCCUAGGGCUACACACGUACUACAAUGGCGCAUACAAAGGGCAGCGAUACCGCGAGGUGGAGCCAAUCCCAAAAAGUGCGUCCCAGUCCGGAUUGCAGUCUGCAACUCGACUGCAUGAAGUUGGAAUCGCUAGUAAUUCGAGAUCAGCAUGCUCGGGUGAAUGCGUUCCCGGGCCUU
rnacentral:rRNA from 1 species